AGGCUGUAAAUGGAUAGUAUGAGGGAGAUUUGGGGAGUGAUGGAACUGUUCUGAUUAUAAUGAUAAUUACAUGAAUCUGUACAUGUGUUCAAAAUCACAGUACUGCACACUAAAAGAAAAAAAGGUCAAUUUUACAGUAUAAGUUUUAAAAUCAAAGCAAAGCCAAAACAAAUUUGUAAGGAAAACAAGAUGUUUUCCAUUGUUUGAAAUAUCUAACAGAACAUAUUAGCGUAAAUGAAAUCAAUACUCUAUGGGAGGAAGGAAUGGAAAGACAGAAUCUUAGAUUGUUGGAUUCUCAUAGAUUAUUAAUCCAGGGUUAGCAAAUGUGCUUGUGGCAGAUUAUAUUUCUGAAGUUAGCUGCAAUGAUAUGUGGCAUUCAACAUGUUCCUCUAGAUAAGUCUAUCCAGCCUGGGGAACAUGGUGAAACCCCGCCUCUACAAAAAUACAAAAAAAUUAGCUGUAUGUGGUGGCACAUGCCUAUAAUCCCACCUACUCAGGAGGCUCGAGAAUCACCUGAGGUUGCAAUGAGCUGAGAUUGCGCCACUGCGCUCCACCCUCAGUGACGGAGCGAGAUCUUGUCUAAAAAAAAAAAAAAAAAAAAAAAGUCUAUGUCCCUAUUACAUGAAUUUGUGACUGCCUAGACCAAGUGAGGAUAGUGGAAGCAACACUAUGUGAUUGCUGAGGCUAAGUCAUAAAAAUGCUAUGCAUUUCCUCCUUGUUCUCUUGGAACACUUGCUCUUAGAACCCAGCCACUCUAAUGCAAGGAAUUCCAAGUAGCCCGUGGAAAGCCCUACGUGAAAAGGAACUGAAGUUUCUGCCCACACACCUGGCUGAUCUUCCAGCUAGCAGCCAGCACCAACUUGCCAGCCAUGUGAGAGUGCCAUCUUAAUAAGAGUCAAACUAUCUGAGCCAGCAUGGAACAGAGAACACGUCUGCCAAGCCCUGCCC
rnacentral:lncRNA from 10 species